rnacentral:snRNA from 1 species
GGGUUUCCACAGCACACAUGCCAAAAAUGGAAUACUAUAGAGAAGAUAGCAUGGUCCUGCACAAAAAUGACAAGUGAAUUUGUGAAAAGUUCCACAUUUAA